GAAAAACAUGGUUUUGAAAACCUUUGUGAAAUAAAAUCAAUUUAAAAAUAUUUGAAAACUAAGCAACAAAAAAUAAAAUAUAGAAAAUAAAUUGCCGAAAUAAAAGAAGUUAAGGGAAAAGAGGAACACUAAGAUUUAUAGAGGUUCAACCAAAAAUAAAAGGACUCACUCAUCUCCCAAAGAUUUGACCUUGAUAUUUUUC
rnacentral:lncRNA from 1 species